GAGACAUUCUUUUCUUUUUUGAAUUCUGAAUCAAGUCCCAAGGCAACAGUGCCCUGUUUCUUAGCAACACAGAUGGGUAGACUGUAUAUUCCAUCUCUUUUGUACAAUGGAAUAAUAAACAAUUCCCUGAGUAAGUGUGUGCUGCAAGUCCAUUACUUCACUUAAUUUCCUGGAGAAAAGAGGAAAGGAAAGCCUUCUGUGGUACAGCAGAUGAAAUUUGUCUGGAAGUCCCUGUCUCUGCAGAGUGGGACUGCAAUAUUUGAGAAGAAAAAAUUAAUCAUCAGGCCAUUAUGUUCAUCCUCCAUCAAGAAGAGAGAAAAUUUUUUCUUGAAACUCAAGGAAAAUUUUCUGCAAGGCUUGACUGCCCUUUCUCAUAAGAACAAACUGCAGUGAAGCAAUCCAAAGCCAACAAGAUUUAUGGCUGAAACAAUCUCCUGAUUUUAGAUACCAGCUCUGUAAGCCAUCCAACCUUCCUCAGAAGCCACAAAGAAAGGGAAAGGGGGAACUGAGAUUUCAGUUACACCAGAGGUCCUUGCAAUCUGAAGUUAAAACCACAGCAUUUGACAUAGCAUGGAUCCUGAACUUGAACCACUGAAAGGAGAGCAAAAGGACUCUGACAGGAGAUUUCUUACCUACAAGCCCCAUGAAAGCAAGUGGGAUCCACAGCUGCUUCUGCCAAGUAGUCCCUGGCCACCUAAAUCUGCUUCAUUACUGGAAUCAAGAUGUCCAUAUCAGACUGUUCAAAGACACUGACUAUUUCAGAAUAAGCAGAUGCUGGAUGGAUCUUUUUAUGGUUUGCAUAUACACACCAAACUCUUAAAGGUAGAGAUCUACAAACCAGAAUACCUUUGCUUAUAAAACAGCUCCAGUUUGCAUCACUGCAGACUAACAAAUACAGCAUUGAGGAGAUAAUAAUAACAGUUAUAUAUUUAUAUAAUUGUAAAUACCAGCAUGGAGCAGAAACACACUAAUGCACUUUGUCUGGUAUGUUAGUGAGUAUUUGACCUCUUUCCCUUAGGCCCCAGUUUCUGAAAUAGCAUGUAAAUCAAUAUUAUUAUAUUUUUCUACUUAACAAAUCCCCCUCACUAUUGCUAAAAAUUACUUACCAACAGGUCCAAAUCACUAAUUCUUUUUAUAAUCAGCCCCUCAAUUAUCUGGAGAUAAAGGCACAGCCCAUUAAGCUCCAGGUACCUACAGGUGCUGAGUGCCAUCAUGAGCUUGCUUUGGAAAGUGCCUGUCCUCUGCACCCAGGAGCUGGGGAUCAGCAGGCUGUGCCAAAACAAACCCUCAUACAUUCCCUCUUCCUCCAAUAGACACAUCUGCUUUUCUCUUGACUCUGAUUACUGGGAAUGGACGGCUGAAAGCCCCACACAGUCAGCACAUCCUUGCAAGAAAGCAUCUUUAAGAGCAUUACUGCUACUGGCAGGAGAGAUACCUUGCUUCCAAAUUCCUGCCGGAGUGAAAGGCAGCUGUUAUCCAGCUGUGCAGACAGAAGCCCCCAUUACCCACCCAGGCUUACCAAUACAGUGCAUUGGCUGGAUCUGAAAAUGCUGAUAAUGCUGCUUUGCAACACGGAGAUUGAGAGGCUCUCCAGAGAGCAGUUCUGCUUGCACUGCAAUGUUGGCUUGGUGCAUGGCAGCAGCAUCCAGCAGAGCCCAGCAGGAGAGCAGUGUCACUGGCAUUCUGCUGUGUCCCUGCAUCACUGCCCAUUGUGCUCUUUUAUAGGUACAUGUGCAAGAGGUGCAGCACCCGAGCAGAGUGCUCUGACAGCUCUUCAUGCUGGCCUCAGAUUAGCAUCAACCUGUGCCCCUGUUACACACUCAAACUCAGAGUCCAAGGGGGCCUGAGACUGCCCUGCAGAGAUGCUUGCUAUUCAGGCUGAUCUCAAUCUCCUCUGACACACUUUGCGAAGCUCUGAGACUUCAGAGGAAGCAGAGUGUGGUUUUUGUAUCAAGGGCUGGCUAAAGUGAUGUUCUCAUGCCUCAGCAGUUAGAGAUACAAGCAAAAUCUCUUCAUUCUUUUUACUUUUGCAUGCUCAUUGUGGGGUUGAAAAUGCACUGUAAGUCUGCUGACAGCUAUGUCAGCCUUUGGGCACACAGUCAACUUCAGCGUGAGCACCUCUUAGCCCAGCACACGAGUAAUGCACAGUAGCCAUUACCAAAAAUGUCACUGAUCCAUUUUUCCAUUACCGUCAGUGUACUUUGAAACAGGCUUAAUGGAGGUGAAUUACUUUGUUUUAGGCAGCACUAUGAGAUUGUUCCUUUAGAAACUGCUUUAUGAAAACCUCUACAGCUCAUAUAGAUGCAGAGAGAAUGUGGAUACUUUCUGAAAUCCUGAAAGGAAGAAGCAGGUUUACAAGUUAACUGUAAAUAUUGUGAUUUCAUAAAUGACCAAAUGUUACACAAAAGUAGGUUCAGAUCCAUACAUACUGACUCUAUAAAGGCAAAACAGCAGAUUCUGUAAGUUAUUAAUUCUAGUAUUUUGCAUAUGUAUAGAACUUACCCUAUAUAUCUUUAUCAUAAAACAAACUUUAUAAUAAAACAGAUUUCAAGGUGUCUGCUCAGGACAUCCUCUGCCAUCCCCCAUAUACUUCAAACUCAUUGUUAUCUCUAAAACUGUUGUACUUUGGGUUAGAUUUAGCUGUGUCUGCUGUGAUUUCUGGAACUCAUGAAUGAUUACCAUGAUUAAAAUCAGUGUUUGAAUUACACACAGGACUUUAAGGAAAGACUGGAUGUGGCACUUAGGGCCAUGGUCUAGUUUCCAGGGUGAUGUUAGGUCAUAGGUUGGACUUGAUGAUCUCAAAGUUCUUUUCCGGCCUAGUUGAUUCUGUGUUCCUGUGACUCCUAAUUCUAAUCUAAGAUUUUUCAAUACUUGUGUAACUUUGAUUACAUUCUUUGCCAUGAAUUUAUGCCCAAGUUCAACUGAAAUACACUUUUCUACAUUCUUCCUCCACGACAAACCCAUGCAUUUGAAAAUGUUAGCAUGUACACCCAGAGUAUUCAGGUGGUCAUCAAAUUUUAAGUACUGUUGAAAGUGAUACUGAGCCUUUGAAAUACCAAGUUUUAUGCAUUUCCUGUGGAACAAAAUCAUAAAAAUACACUAAAUAAUCGACUUAACAAUGUACUAAAAAUCUAACUUUUAAAGAAUUAUUUAUUAAAAUCUUUCUGAGACCUGAUUUACAAAAGAUAGUAAAGAUAGCAGGUUGGUUUGCAAUAAAAUAAAUCUUGUAUUGACUGCAGUUAAAAUUAAUAUACUGGAAAAAACAGAACAAUAAUUUUCUGCUAGAUACUUCUCUGCUCCAUUGAGUAUUGCUUUGAGCAAUUAUACCUUAUCAUGUUGUGCUGAUAGCAGUGUGGUAAUUUUAUUACCUUAAUAACACAACAUUUAGCUAACACUGCACUAUUUAGUUCAUGUAAGGAAGAAAGAUAUUAAUUUGUUUUAAAUAAGAGUCUGUCUUUAAUAAGCCACUAACUGCAUCCCAAAAGACACAUAGAGACCUGUGCAAUGCUAAAUAAAGGGGUGAAGCCAAAUGAAAAAUAUUAUGGGGUUCCUCUUUUCACUUAGAUGAGAAUAAUGCCCUCUUUUCCUUUGUCACCAACCACUGCAACAGCUCAGGAAGUGCUGGGACUGUUCUGGCUGAAUUUUGUGCACACCAUGGUGAAGGACAACAAGCAGGGGUGAGACUGGAAAAGAAGAGGGAGCUGUGGAGUCGUGGGGAGAGGGCUUUGGAAGAGGCAGUGGCAUGUGCAUAGCUGGAAAAGCAGCUGUGGCUGCAGGCUGCCUGUACAUGGUUCUUUCAUUAAGAGUCUGUUUAGUUUCAGUACCCUGGGAUUUCCUCAAGUUACAAACCAGGAGACAGUGUGUGAAACACAGAAACUCUAUUCUAUAACUGCUUAAAACAUCAAGCUUUAUAACAUUGGAGUGCUACUUUUCCUCCACAGAGGCCUUUUCUUAGCUGGAAAAAGUAAAUCAAGGAAGUGUCUGUCAUGCAGGUUGUACUAAAAUUAUGCUUUGGAAAAUAAACUUAUCUGUAACAACGUGUUCUUCAACUGAA